rnacentral:rRNA from 1 species
GAUGAACGCUAGCGGCAGGCCUAAUACAUGCAAGACGAACGGUAAGUUGAGUAGCAAUACUUAGCCAAGAGUGUCGUACGGGUGCGUAACACGUAUGCAACCUACCCUAUACAGGAGGAUAGCCUAGGGAAACCUGGAUUAACCCUUCAUAGUAUUAUUGGAUGGCAUCAUUUGAUAAUUAAAACUGAGGUGGUAUAGGAUGGGCAUGCGUCUGAUUAGUUAGUUGGCGGGUAAUGGCCCACCAAGACGAUGAUCAGUAGGGGUUCUGAGAGGAAGAUCCCCCACACUGGCACUGAGAUACGGGCCAGACUCCUACGGGAGCAGCAGUAGGGAAUAUUGGUCAAUGGAUGCAAGUCUGAACCAGCCAUGCCGCGUGCAGGAAGAAGGCCUUCUGGGUUGUAAACUGUUUUUGCCAGGGGAUAAAAUUUCCAUGCGUGGAAAACUGAAGGUACCUGGUGAAUAAGCCACGGCUAACUACGUGCCAGCAGCCGCGGUAAU